ACUAGGAAAAUACUAAACCUAAUAUGCCUAAAUAAUAUAAAUCUAAUCUUCCUAAAUUUACAAUGAAAAUUAAUUAUAUUCUUAUAUAGAAUUUGAAUCUUCCUAUGAUACAUCAUUCUUCCCUAGUUAGAGAAGACUUUACCUCAGGUUUUGAAGUGCAAAGGAAUGAAGAAUUGGCUUCGGAGAACAAGCAACUUUAACUUCUUGAAUGGUAGCAACAAGAUCAAAAUGAAUAAUUUCACAUUUUCCUUUGCAUCCCAGAAAACAUUUGAACGCAGAAAAUUAAUCGCAAUUAAAGGUGAAAGGCUCUUCAAAUCACUAGG
rnacentral:misc_RNA from 1 species